GACGAACGCUGGCGGCGUGCUUAACACAUGCAAGUCGAACGAAAAGAGGGAAAGAGCUUGCUCUUUCCGGAAUUGAGUGGCAAACGGGUGAGUAACACGUAAACAACCUGCCUUCAGGAUGGGGACAACAGACGGAAACGACUGCUAAUACCGAAUAAGUUCCAAGGGCCGCAUGGCCCAUGGAAGAAAAGGUGGCCUCUACCUGUAAGCUAUCGCCUGAAGAGGGGUUUGCGUCUGAUUAGCUGGUUGGAGGGGUAACGGCCCACCAAGGCGACGAUCAGUAGCCGGUCUGAGAGGAUGAACGGCCACACUGGAAUUGAGACACGGUCCAGACUCCUACGGGAGGCAGCAGUGGGGAAUCUUCCGCAAUGGGCGAAAGCCUGACGGAGCAGCGCCGCGUGAGUGAUGACGGCCUUCGGGUUGUAAAACUCUGUGAUCCGGGACGAAAAGGCAGAGUGCGAAGAACAAACUGCAUUGACGGUACCGGAAAAGCAAGCCACGGCUAACUACGUG
rnacentral:rRNA from 1 species